AGGCCUUACCUCAGAGGAGAGAAUUAAUUAGCCUUGUCACUAGCACUCUUCUAGAACCACUGAAAAAAAAUUAGAUCAAGACCUGAAAGGAUCAAAUUAUUUCCAAGUAAUUCAACUGCAUCCCAGAGUAGAGCUCAAGAAUAUUUAUAGGAAUACAAAAGUAUUUAACACCCAAGAAGCUACAUCUGACCAUCCAAUCAAAGACUGAAGACUGCCAGCUAUUAUAACUGCAUUCCACAUGUUCACAAGAUUAAGUAGAAGCAUAGAAGAUAGCAGAAAGACGAAAAUCACACUUCUAGUGAUUAAAACUACCAUGUCUGAGUUGAAAAUAUCCCAGAUGGGAUUAAGAAGAUAAGACAACGCAAAAGAAGAGACUAUGAAUUGAAGACAUACCAAUGGAAACUACUCAAAAUGAAAUAACUGAAAAAAAAAAGAAUAAAAAAAAAAAAGAAAGGAGUAUCAGUGAGCUCUGGGAUGGUUUUAUACAUGCAUAGGUCUCAUAGAUAUGUAAUUGCAGUUUCUGAGCAACAGGAGAAAGAAGCAGGGAGAUGAAGAAUAAUGCAUAAAAAUGGUCCAAAUUUGAUGAAAACCUUGUCUAUGGAUUUAAGGAGUUUAAAGAAACCGAACAUUAAGUCAUGAAGAAAACAAAACAAAACAAAACAAAAAAAAAAAUGUCAUGAAGAAAACUACACCAAAGAAUUUAAUUGCUCUAAACCAAUGAUAAGGAAAAAACAAUAAAUGUAGACAGAGAUAAAAAGACACAGGUAUAGAGGAACAAAGAUAUGAAGGACAGCCAAUUUCUUUUUAUAAGAUUGCAAGCAAGAUGACAGAGGAGUAACAUCUUUAAAGUACUGAAAGGACAGCUGUCAUUCUAGAAUGCUAUAUCCUAGAAAUAUAUAUCUUCAGGAAAAAAAGGAGACAUAAAGAUAUUUUCAAAUAUUCAAUCUAAAAGAACUGUUCUAAAAGAAAUAAAGUUCUUUAGGUGAAAUAAAAAAUAAUCCCAGAUAUAAAUAUGGACCAAUCCCCAAAAGUGAAGAACAUCAGAAGUGGCAACUAUGCAGAUCUGGGAAGAGACCAUCCUUUGCAGGACCAGCUCAGGCCUCUCAGACUGACAUCACCACCACCCACUUUCACACCAGAAAGAAUGAUAGACACAUGGGAUACCUGGGUGGCUCAGCGGUCACGUGUCUGCCUUCGGCUCAGGUCUUGAUCUCAGGAUCCUGGGAUCAAGUCCCGCAUCAGGCUCCUCGCAGAGAGUCUGCUUCUCCCUCUGCCUAUGUC